rnacentral:sRNA from 2 species
CUUCAGGAUCGCUAGGGUUCCGGUCGUGUGGCGCAGGCGCGCCGCGCGAUGUCUGGUCCGAGAGCAAUCCGGUCUUGCCUUCGCCUCGACGAGAGGAAACGGCGAGGCUCCACGGAGGGAUAAAAGCCCGGGAGGU